rnacentral:rRNA from 1 species
GGUUAAGCGACUAAGCGUACACGGUGGAUGCCCCGGCAGUCAGAGGCGAUGAAGGACGUGCUAAUCUGCGAUAAGCGUCGGUAAGGUGAUAUGAACCGUUAUAACCGGCGAUUUCCGAAUGGGGAAACCCAGUGUGUUUCGACACACUAUCAUUAACUGAAUCCAUAGGUUAAUGAGGCGAACCGGGGGAACUGAAACAUCUAAGUACCCCGAGGAAAAGAAAUCAACCGAGAUUCCCCCAGUAGCGGCGAGCGAACGGGGAGCAGCCCAGAGCCUGAAUCAGUGUGUGUGUUAGUGGAAGCGUCUGGAAAGGCGCGCGAUACAGGGUGACAGCCCCGUACACAAAAAUGCACAUGCUGUGAGCUCGAUGAGUAGGGCGGGACACGUGGUAUCCUGUCUGAAUAUGGGGGACCAUCCUCCAAGGCUAAAUACUCCUGACUGACCGAUAGUGAACCAGUACCGUGAGGGAAAGGCGAAAAGAACCCCGGCGAGGGGAGUGAAAAAGAACCUGAAACCGUGUACGUACAAGCAGUGGGAGCACGCUUCGGCGUGUGACUGCGUACCUUUUGUAUAAUGGGUCAGCGACUUAUAUUCUGUAGCAAGGUUAACCGAAUAGGGGAGCCGAAGGGAAACCGAGUCUUAACUGGGCGUUAAGUUGCAGGGUAUAGACCCGAAACCCGGUGAUCUCAGCCAUGGGCAGGUUGAAGGUUGGGUAACACUAACUGGAGGACCGAACCGACUAAUGUUGAAAAAUUAGCGGAUGACUUGUGGCUGGGGGUGAAAGGCCAAUCAAACCGGGAGAUAGCUGGUUCUCCCCGAAAGCUAUUUAGGUAGCGCCUCGUGAAUUCAUCUCCGGGGGUAGAGCACUGUUUCGGCAAGGGGGUCAUCCCGACUUACCAACCCGAUGCAAACUGCGAAUACCGGAGAAUGUUAUCACGGGAGACACACGGCGGGUGCUAACGUCCGUCGUGAAGAGGGAAACAACCCAGACCGCCAGCUAAGGUCCCAAAGUCAUGGUUAAGUGGGAAACGAUGUGGGAAGGCCCAGACAGCCGAGGAUGUUGGCUUAGAAGCAGCCAUCAUUUAAAGAAAGCGUAAUAGCUCACUGGUCGAGUCGGCCUGCGCGGAAGAUGUAACGGGGCUAAACCAUGCACCGAAGCUGCGGCAGCGACGCUUAUGCGUUGUUGGGUAGGGGAGCGUUCUGUAAGCCUGUGAAGGUGUGCUGUGAGGCAUGCUGGAGGUAUCAGAAGUGCGAAUGCUGACAUAAGUAACGAUAAAGCGGGUGAAAAGCCCGCUCGCCGGAAGACCAAGGGUUCCUGUCCAACGUUAAUCGGGGCAGGGUGAGUCGACCCCUAAGGCGAGGCCGAAAGGCGUAGUCGAUGGGAAACAGGUUAAUAUUCCUGUACUUGGUGUUACUGCGAAGGGGGACGGAGAAGGCUAUGUUGGCCGGGCGACGGUUGUCCCGGUUUAAGCGUGUAGGCUGGUUUUCCGGGCAAAUCCGGAAAAUCAAGGCUGAGGCGUGAUGACGAGGCACUACGGUGCUGAAGCAACAAAUGCCCUGCUUCCGGGAAAAGCCUCUAAGCAUCAGGUAACAUCAAAUCGUACCCCAAACCGACACAGGUGGUCAGGUAGAGAAUACCAAGGCGCUUGAGAGAACUCGGGUGAAGGAACUAGGCAAAAUGGUGCCGUAACUUCGGGAGAAGGCACGCUGAUAUGUAGGUGAAGCGACUUGCUCGUGGAGCUGAAAUCAGUCGAAGAUACCAGCUGGCUGCAACUGUUUAUUAAAAACACAGCACUGUGCAAACACGAAAGUGGACGUAUACGGUGUGACGCCUGCCCGGUGCCGGAAGGUUAAUUGAUGGGGUCAGCGCAAGCGAAGCUCUUGAUCGAAGCCCCGGUAAACGGCGGCCGUAACUAUAACGGUCCUAAGGUAGCGAAAUUCCUUGUCGGGUAAGUUCCGACCUGCACGAAUGGCGUAAUGAUGGCCGGGCUGUCUCCACCCGAGACUCAGUGAAAUUGAACUCGCUGUGAAGAUGCAGUGUACCCGCGGCAAGACGGAAAGACCCCGUGAACCUUUACUAUAGCUUGACACUGAACAUUGAGCCUUGAUGUGUAGGAUAGGUGGGAGGCUUUGAAGUGUGGACGCCAGUCUGCAUGGAGCCGACCUUGAAAUACCACCCUUUAAUGUUUGAUGUUCUAACGUUGACCCGUAAUCCGGGUUGCGGACAGUGUCUGGUGGGUAGUUUGACUGGGGCGGUCUCCUCCUAAAGAGUAACGGAGGAGCACGAAGGUUGGCUAAUCCUGGUCGGACAUCAGGAGGUUAGUGCAAUGGCAUAAGCCAGCUUGACUGCGAGCGUGACGGCGCGAGCAGGUGCGAAAGCAGGUCAUAGUGAUCCGGUGGUUCUGAAUGGAAGGGCCAUCGCUCAACGGAUAAAAGGUACUCCGGGGAUAACAGGCUGAUACCGCCCAAGAGUUCAUAUCGACGGCGGUGUUUGGCACCUCGAUGUCGGCUCAUCACAUCCUGGGGCUGAAGUAGGUCCCAAGGGUAUGGCUGUUCGCCAUUUAAAGUGGUACGCGAGCUGGGUUUAGAACGUCGUGAGACAGUUCGGUCCCUAUCUGCCGUGGGCGCUGGAGAACUGAGGGGGCUGCUCCUAGUACGAGAGGACCGGAGUGGACGCAUCACUGGUGUUCGGGUUGUCAUGCCAAUGGCACUGCCCGGUAGCUAAAUGCGGAAGAGAUAAGUGCUGAAAGCAUCUAAGCACGAAACUUGCCCCGAGAUGAGUUCUCCCUGACUCCUUGAGAGUCCUGAAGGAACGUUGAAGACGACGACGUUGAUAGGCCGGGUGUGUAAGCGCAGCGAUGCGUUGAGCUAACCGGUACUAAUGAACCGUGAGGCUUAACCUU